rnacentral:tRNA from 1 species
GCCGGAGUGGCGGAAUGGCAGACGCACCAGACUCAAAAUCUGGCGAUGGCAACAUCGUGCGGGUUCAAGUCCCGCCUUCGGCACCA